AUUGAACGCUGGCGGCAGGCCUAACACAUGCAAGUCGAGCGGAUGAAGGGAGCUUGCUCCUGGAUUCAGCGGCGGACGGGUGAGUAAUGCCUAGGAAUCUGCCUGGUAGUGGGGGAUAACGUCCGGAAACGGGCGCCAAUACCGCAUACGUCCUGAGGGAGAAAGUGGGGGAUCUUCGGACCUCACGCUAUCAGAUGAGCCUAGGUCGGAUUAGCUAGUUGGUGGGGUAAAGGCCUACCAAGGCGACGAUCCGUAACUGGUCUGAGAGGAUGAUCAGUCACACUGGAACUGAGACACGGUCCAGACUCCUACGGGAGGCAGCAGUGGGGAAUAUUGGACAAAGGGCGAAAGCCUGAUCCAGCCAUGCCGCGUGUGUGAAGAAGGUCUUCGGAUUGUAAAGCACUUUAGGUUGGGAGGAAGGGCAGUAAGUUAAUACCUUGCUGUUUUGACGUUACCAACAGAAUAAGCACCGGCUAACUUCGUG
rnacentral:rRNA from 1 species